AGGUGUGUGCGUGCGUGUGUGAGUGUGUGUGUGUGUGCGCGCUCGCUCGCUUUAUAGGUGCUUGUAGUGAAGAUCCAAAAGGUGAAGCAGAUACUCUAGAGCAGUGAUUGCGAACCUUUUAGAGCUUUCAAUGAUAAACAGCCGGCAGCGCCGCGCGUGCACUGCCCUAGAGAAUGAGAUUAUCUCAGGGAGCAAAGUUUAAAAACAACAUAACAUUAUACCUGAGUAAAGCUGUUAGGGCAGAGGGGGUCAGUAAGCAAAUCAAGUUAAACAAGGGAAUUCAGGAUUCCAAACAAGAUCUCAUCUAUCUUCCCAGCACAGUCUGAGAGAUGAGAAGAAUCCAGAUGAUUUCUUCCAAGAAGCAAAAGUCAAACAGGCUGCAG
rnacentral:lncRNA from 1 species